UGUUUCGGCUAGGGGGCCAUCCCGGCUUACCAACCCGAUGCAAACUGCGAAUACCGGAGAAUGUUAUCACGGGAGACACACGGCGGGUGCUAACGUCCGUCGUGAAGAGGGAAACAACCCAGACCGCCAGCUAAGGUCCCAAAGUCAUGGUUAAGUGGGAAACGAUGUGGGAAGGCCCAGACAGCCAGGAUGUUGGCUUAGAAGCAGCCAUCAUUUAAAGAAAGCGUAAUAGCUCACUGGUCGAGUCGGCCUGCGCGGAAGAUGUAACGGGGCUAAACCAUGCACCGAAGCUGCGGCAGCGACACUGUGUGUUGUUGGGUAGGGGAGCGUUCUGUAAGCCUGUGAAGGUGUGUCGUGAGGCAUGCUGGAGGUAUCAGAAGUGCGAAUGCUGACAUAAGUAACGAUAAAGCGGGUGAAAAGCCCGCUCGCCGGAAGACCAAGGGUUCCUGUCCAACGUUAAUCGGGGCAGGGUGAGUCGACCCCUAAGGCGAGGCCGAAAGGCGUAGUCGAUGGGAAACGGGUUAAUAUUCCCGUACUUGGUGUUACUGCGAAGGGGGGACGGAGAAGGCUAUGUUGGCCGGGCGACGGUUGUCCCGGUUUAAGCGUGUAGGUGUGUGUUCCAGGUAAAUCCGGUUCACUUUAACACUGAGGCGUGA
rnacentral:rRNA from 1 species